AUUGAACGCUGGCGGCGUGCUUAACACAUGCAAGUCGAUCGGUAACAGGUGUAGCAAUACAUGCUGACGAGAGGCGGACGGGUGAGUAAUGCUUGGGAAUCUGCCUAUUAGUGGGGGACAACCCGGGGAAACUCGGGCUAAUACCGCAUACGCUCUACGGAGGAAAGCCGGGGACCGCAAGGCCUGGCGCUAAUAGAUGAGCCCAAGUCGGAUUAGCUAGUUGGUAGGGUAACGGCCUACCAAGGCGACAAUCCGUAGCUGGUCUGAGAGGACGACCAGCCACACCGGAACUGAGACACGGUCCGGACUCCUACGGGAGGCAGCAGUGGGGAAUAUUGGACAAUGGGGGCAACCCUGAUCCAGCGACGCCGCGUGGGUGAAGAAGGCCUGCGGGUUGUAAAGCCCUUUCGGUGGGGAAGAAAGUCUCGACCUAAUACGUCGGGACCUUGACGUAACCCACUAAAGAAGCACCGGCUAACUCUGUGCCAGCCGCCGCGGUAA
rnacentral:rRNA from 1 species